rnacentral:lncRNA from 1 species
AGUGGUUAUGUAUAUUUGCAACGCUUUGUAGCAAUUUUUCUAAGCAUGAUGUAAUUCUUUUUUAGACCAUUUAGGCCUACUUUGGCAACACCGUUUAUUCAAAACCAUGGUAUUCUAAAACCUCAGUAUUUCAUUCAUGGGCAAUGAAUACUUCAAUUUCUAAAAUCUUUGUUUUUCUCAGUUUUGGUAAAACUACGAAGGUGUUUGGCAAGUGGUAGUCUUCUCUUAGUUUCUUUGGUUCUUACGAAUUGUUAGAGUAUUGCAUGAAUACUCAGCUACACUCACGGAUCAGCUUGUGUUAGUGCUUUUUGCGGAUUGUUACACAAUCCGUUCGUCAAAAGACCACCAAUGGAUCUUCAAAAGACCGCUAUAGUUCACAUAAUGCACAUAAACGAUAGAAU